UCCUUAUCUCAUGACACCGUCAUCUUCCCACAUACCCUUUGAGAUUUCCAGUGUUAAUGCCAUUGUCCUUUACUGCUUUAUUAAAGCAUUUCUCUAAAUAUGUUUUAAUCUUUUGGCUCCAGGAAGUCAGCAUUUGACAUGUUUAACUUCCUGGCUUCUAAACAUCGUCAGCCUCCUGAAUACAACCCCAAUGAUGAAGAAGAGGAGGAGGUACAGCUGAAAUCAGCUCGGUAAGUCUUGAGUGGGGAGCAGUCAUUAGAAACUGCUUUCCCUCUCCUCCAGCUGGUCAGGGCACUACGUAGGAAUUUGUUUGCAUCAGAAUUUCCUGGAUAAGAUUUAAGAGGACUGAAAUCCAUUUGUGUUGAAGUAGCAGUAGGUGCCUGGUAAGGAGUGAGGAAUAUAAGGUACAGAGGAGAAAUUCAAAGAACUGUAAGAUGCCUAUUUUCUUUAAUGAUAGUAUACUUUGUCAGCUUUGGUUGUACCACCAUAGUCGUCAUGGUCAGAAAGUACUAUAUAUACUAAAAAUGGGACUCAUUGGCCAGGCACGGUGGCUCAUGCCUGUAAUUCCAGCACUUUGGAAGUCCGAGGCGGACAGAUCACGAGGUCAGGAGUUCGAGACCAGCCUGACCAACAUAGUGAAACCCCAUCUCUACUAAAAAUACAAAAAUUAGCCCGGCGUGGUGGCGUGCGCCUGUAGUCCCACCUACUCAGCAGGCUGAGGCAAGAGAAUCGCUUGAACCCAGGAGGCCGAGGUUGCAGUGAGCCGAGAUCGCGCCACUGGACUCCAGCCUGGGCGACAGAGCAAAACUCCAUCUCAAAAAAAAAAAAAAAAAAGGGGGGCUCAUUUUAUAAGGCACUUAUUCAGUUUGGCAUUGAACAAAGAGUGUACUAAUUGUCUCUAGGAACCUUCGAUUCAAGACUCAAAACAUUAGUUCCUGAAAAAAAUUCGUUAAUAGUAUGUCUUAUGUCUUAUCUCUUAGGAGGGCAACUAGCAUGGAUCUGCCAAUGCCCAUGCGUUUCCGGCACUUAAAAAAGACUUCUAAGGAGGCAGUUGGUGUCUACAGGUAUGGCUAAAAUUCUAGAAAGAAUUACAGAAAACGAAUGCAGUUUUUCAAAAUCAAAGUAGACCAAAUGCUGGAGUGACCUUCCUCACUCAGUAAGUGAGGAUUUUAUGGACACUAUUUAUUGACCCUCGUAUCCUGGGAUCCUGCACCUCCUUGUGUUGAACAAGGAAGGACUUUAACAUAAUAAGCAUUAAAACAUUGCUGCUUCCAGCGGGUUGCAGAAUGGAAAUAACUUUCAUCUUUGGCCAUUUGUUAGAUGGCUAAAUCAAGUGGGUCCAAAUUUUUAUUUUCUCAAGUGUAUGUCCCUCCUGGGGAAAACAGACCAGGAGAACUUAUUCAUGUAUUCAUGCACUUAACCUUACUUGCAAAAUUUGUGUCUGACCUCUUUUCCGUCUUUGCCCUAGGUCUCCCAUCCAUGGCCGGGGUCUUUUCUGUAAGAGAAACAUUGAUGCAGGUGAGAUGGUGAUUGAGUAUGCCGGCAACGUCAUCCGCUCCAUCCAGACUGACAAGCGGGAAAAGUAUUAUGACAGCAAGGGCAUUGGUUGCUAUAUGUUCCGAAUUGAUGACUCAGAGGUAGUGGAUGCCACCAUGCAUGGAAAUGCUGCGCGCUUCAUCAAUCACUCGUGUGAGCCUAACUGCUAUUCUCGGGUCAUCAAUAUUGAUGGGCAGAAGCACAUUGUCAUCUUUGCCAUGCGUAAGAUCUACCGAGGAGAGGAACUAACUUACGACUAUAAGUUCCCCAUUGAGGAUGCCAGCAACAAGCUGCCCUGCAACUGUGGCGCCAAGAAAUGCCGGAAGUUCCUAAACUAAAGCUGCUCUUCUCCCCCAGUGUUGGAGUGCAAGGACGCGGGGCCAUCCAAAGCAACGCUGAAGGCCUUUUCCAGCAGCUGGGAGCUCCCGGAUUGCGUGGGCACAGCUGAGGGGCCUCUGUGAUGGCUGAGCUCUCUUAUGUCCUAUACUCACAUCAGACAUGUGAUCAUAGUCCCGGAGACAGAGUUGAGGUCUCAAAGAAAAGAUCCAUGAUCGGCUUUCUCCUGGGGCCCCUCG
rnacentral:sRNA from 1 species